AGAGUUUGAUCCUGGCUCAGGAUGAACGCUGGCGGCGUGCUUAACACAUGCAAGUCGAACGUGAAGGCCCCUCAUCAUCCAUCGUGUUGAUGAGGGGUUGGAAAGUGGCGGACGGGUGAGUAACACGUAGGUAACCUGCCCUGGAGAGGGGGAUAACCGUGGGAAACCACGGCUAAUACCCCAUGGCCUUGUUGGGACGGGAGUUUCGGCAAGGAAAGCUCCGGUGCUCUAGGAGGGGCCUGCGGUCGAUUAGCUAGUUGGUGAGGUAACGGCUCACCAAGGCGAUGAUCGAUAGCUGUUCUGAGAGGAAGACCAGCCACACGGGGACUGAGACACGGCCCCGACUCCUACGGGGGGCAGCAGUGAGGAAUAUUGCACAAUGGGGGCAACCCUGAUGCAGCAACGCCGCGUGGAGGACGACGGUUUUCGAAUUGUAAACUCCUUUUCUGCGGGAAGAAGCGUCUCUUUUCGGAGAGACAUUGACGGUACCGCAGGAAGAAGACACGGCUAACUACGUGCCAGCAGCCGCGGUAAUACGUAGGUGUCGAGCGUUAUCCGGAAUUACUGGGCGUAAAGGGCAUGCAGGCGGUCUGGAAAGUCUGACGUGAAAGCUCCCGGCUUAACUGGGAGAGGUCGUUGGAAACUAUCAGACUUGAGGCGACGAGAGGGAAGCGGAAUUCCCGGUGUAGUGGUGGAAUGCGUAGAUAUCGGGAAGAACAUCAGUGGCGAAGGCGGCUUCCUGGCGUUAGCCUGACGCUGAGGUGCGAAAGCGUGGGUAGCGAACGGGAUUAGAUACCCCGGUAGUCCACGCUGUAAACGAUGUGAACUAGGUGUGGGCAGUAUUGACCCUGUCUGUGCCGCAGCCAACGCGAUAAGUUCACCGCCUGGGGACUACGGCCGCAAGGCUAAAACUCAAAGGAAUUGACGGGGGCCCGCACAAGCAGCGGAGCGUGUGGUUUAAUUCGAUGCAACGCGAAGAACCUUACCUGGGCUUGACAUGGACGUAGUAGUGAACCGAAAGGGGAACGAGCCUUCGGGCCGCGUCUGCAGGUGCUGCAUGGCUGUCGUC
rnacentral:rRNA from 1 species